UUCCAGGCAGCGAUGGUGUUAUAAGGCUGUCUGUCGCUUGAGCAUUCUGGUAGUUCGUGUGUGUUUGUGGCAUCUUCUAAUUGAUGUAGUUUCUCAGACUGUACAUCUAACAUGGGGAUAGAGAAUGUGGAAAAGUAUGUCGUUUCUAGAAAAUACUUUCAGCCAUGUGUCUUCGACUUACAGAGUCUUUGACAUGCUAAGUUUGACAUAGGCAUAGGGGCAGGACAUUGCGCCGUUUGUGGUAGCUGUUUCGUUCCUCAUAUUUAGCGUUAACUUUAGAGAAACAAAAAAAACAUUUUCUUUUGCGUUUUCACUAUGAGGAAUUAAAACAAAAGGAACGAAACAGUGACGACUAAAGGCAGGACAGUCUCACCAGUAAAUGAUUACAACAAAAACAACAAACUACUUGUAAUGAUCUGCUUUGAAUAAUCUCCACCUCCUUUAUAGGUGACUGGAGCCACGCAUCAGGUGCCAGGUGUGCAGGAGCUCUUCGCCUGAUCAGUAUCCUUGACCUCAUCAACCAGUAAACUUGAGUUUACCCAUUGCGGUUUACCAUAGCAUUGGUGUAUGUUCCCUUUUGAGGGUUAUUACCUUGAGAAUUCCUCUAUAGUACAUGUAAGAAGCAGUGGAAAUGCUGAAGACCUUUUUAUAAACAGGAGAAGCCAAAUGCCCCCAAGCCCAAGACAAGGAAGGAGUGAGAUACUGGUGCUAUCCAGCAGGGGGCAAUAUUCGUUAAGUAAUGAGGUGAGGAGCAGAGAACGAACAUAAGGCAAAGGGAGUAGCUAACAAAGGGUUCUCCUGAAACAGACUUGGAACACAACCAUGGGUCCUAUGGAUUUGUUUGUCUGACAAAGAAAUCAAAUGUACUUUUUCAUCUUUUCACUUAUUCGCUCAGCCUUUUGCAUCAGCACUCAAUUUUAUUUUCAUAUUAUUGACAGUGUUUUAUACCCUUAGAGCAUAGUUUGAAUGGACAGUGGACACUAUCCAUGGCCUGUAAAGUGCCUUGCUGCUAUAACAGCCUCUACUCUUCUGGGAAGGCUAGAUGUUGAAACAUUUCUGUGGGGACUUCCAUUCAGACACAAGAGCAUGAGUGAGUUCGCCUACUGAUGUUGGGCGAUUAGGCCUGGCUCGCAGUCAGCGUUCCAAUUCAUCCCAAAGGUGUUCGAUGGUGGUGAGGUCAGGGCUCUGUGCAGGCCAGUCAAGUUCCUCCACACCGAUUUCGAUAAACCAUUUGUGUAUGGACCUCGCUUUGUGCACACGGUCAUUGUUAUGCUGUUAACAGGACAGGGCCUUCCCCAAACUGUUACCACAAAUUUGGAAGCACAGAAUCGUCUAGAAUGUCAUUGUAUGCUGUAGCGUUAAGAUUUCCCUUCACUGGAACUAGGGCCUAGCCCCAGACCAUUCCUCCUCCACCAAACUUUAUAGUUGGCACUAUGCAUUGGGGAACGACAUGUUCACCUGGCAUUCGCCAAACCCAGAUUCAUCCCUAUAUGCUGUCUUAUCAUUGUUGGUGAUCAGGCCUGCCACUGUUGUGUCAUUGGCAAAGGUAAUGAUGGUGUUGUGCCUGGCCGUGCAGUCAUGAGUGAACAGGGAGUACAGGAGGGGACUAAGCACACACUUCUGAGGGGCCCCCGUGUUGAGGAUCAGGGUGGCGGAUGUGUUGUUACCUACCCUUACCACCUGGGGGUGGCCUGUCAGGAAGUCCAGGAUCCAGUUGCAGAGGGAGGUGUUUAGUCCCAGGGUCCUUUGCUUAGUGAUGAGCUUUAAAAAUAUAUACCUCCAUAUACUCUGAUUUUAUUGUAGGAACACAAAGAAAGUACAAAUAAUGUAAAAUAAACGAACAACAAAAAAGAUCUGGCAGUUACAGUGCACGUCAUAUCUUCAUCAUCAUAUUAGUUACAUUGACAUCUUUGAAUUAGACCUUUUUCAAGUACGAAACACAUUUUUCCCAGUAUUGACCUCUCUCCUGUAGAGUUCUUAAAGCAAAGGUCAUACGCUCCAUGUGGUGUAUUUAUUUUACAAUGUCUAUCCAUUGUGUCACUGUGGGAGGGUCUUUUUCUAGCCAUUUCCUAGUGAAAGCCUUUUUACUGGCUGCCUUCAAGAGGUACUUUUCUCUAUUGUGUAAGUUAUCAGGUAUUUCACCCAAGUACAAAGAAAUUAAUGUUUGUUCGAUGUCAAAUCCCAUUAUUUUUCCAAUGUUCGAUCUUAUUUCUCCCCAGUAAGUUUUGAUUGCGGAGCAGGACCAGAAGAUAUGAGAGUGAUCCACCCUUGAUAGCCCACAUUCUCUCCAAGAAGGGUGUAGGGAACCAGUCUGUUUGGAUUUCAGUUUAGGUGUUAUGAAGAAACAUAUAACAUUCUUCCAACAUAAUUAUCUCCAUGACCUUGAGUUGGUGGAGCUAUGUUGAGUCUCUAAUAUGUUCAACCAUGUUUCAUCAGUUAUUUCAAUGUCAAGUUCCUCCUCCCAUUUCUUUUUAAUAUAGUUUGUAGAAUGUUUCUUUGGUGAUUGAAUACCCAAGUAGAGAUUUGUAAAUGUUUUUUUGUUACUCCCCAAGUUGUAUGCAUUAGUGAAUACUUGGAUUAAUUUGAGGUGCUCGAGGGUCAGUCACUUUUAUCUCCCUUAAGAAAUAGUGUUGGACUUGUAGGUAUCUGUAAAAAUCUUGUUUAUCCAAGCCAUGUUCUUUACUUCUGGAAGUUAUCUCGGUCCCCAUUCCUUAUAAUUAUACUGAAUGAUGUGAUGCCUUUCUGCGUCCAUUGUUUAAAUCUGCUGUCCUGAGUUGCCGGGAUGAAGCUGAGGUCGUAUGCGGGCCAACUCAGCAGUUUGAUCUCUCUGUCUAAAUUAUUUUGCUUAACUACCCUAAAUCAUGUCUUCAGAGAGAAAUUUAUCCACUGAUUUUGUCUAUUGUAUUUUUCUAUUACCAUGUCCUUAUUACCCAUUCAGUCAGUUUUGGGAAUCUCUGUCAAAGUAGUUUCAAUGUCUUUCCAUUUGGAUUCGUAUUCUGAAUUGCACAAACACACCAGAGGUCUCAAUUGGGCUGACACAUAAUAAUCUUGUAGGUUUGGUAAGGCCAUACCCCCACAGUUGUUUGGUAAUUGUAAUGUUGUAUAUCUAAUUCUUGGUCUCUUACUGUUCCAGAUAAACCUUGAUAUCCGUUUAUCCCAUUCCCUAAACUGUUUAGGUGGGAUUUGUAUGGGCAGUGAUUGGAACAAAUACAGUAACCUUGGCAGGAUGUUUAUUUUGAUUGUUUCAAUUCUACUACUAAGAUCUAAGGGAAGUGAAUUCCACCUAUAGGUCAUCAUACAGUGCCUUGCGAAAGUAUUCGGCCCCCUUGAACUUUGCGACCUUUUGCCACAUUUCACAGGCUUCAAACAUAAAGAUAUAAAACUGUAUUUCUUUGUGAAGAAUCAACAACAAGUGGGACACAAUCAUGAAGUGGAACGACAUUUAUUGGAUAUUUCAAACUUUUUUAACAAAUCAAAAACUGAAAAAUUGGGCGUGCAAAAUUAUUCAGCCCCCUUAAGUUAAUACUUUGUAGCGCCACCUUUUGCUGCGAUUACAGCUGUAAGUCGCUUGGGGUAUGUCUCUAUCAGUUUUGCACAUCGAGAGACUGAAUUUUUUCCCCAUUCCUCCUUGCAAAACAGCUCGAGCUCAGUGAGGUUGGAUGGAGAGCAUUUGUGAACAGCAGUUUUCAGUUCUUUCCACAGAUUCUCGCAAAGUUCAAGGGGGCCGAAUACUUUCGCAAGGCACUGUAUAUUUUCUUGUUGAUGUGAUCGUAAUUCAUGCAAUAAAGUUUGGGUGUAUCUUUGGUAGUUAUGCUCCAAUAUAUUUAAUGGUUAAAGAGGUCCAGUGGAAGUUAUACCUGCUCUUCCUGUGGGGUAUAAUUAUAUACUAGGUUUUGGGUCUUGUGUAUGUAAAGCACAUACCCUGAAUAUGUUCCAAAUGUUUGUAAAACAUCCAUCAGUCUUGGUACACUUGAGCCUGGGUCUUUAAGGAAUAACAGAACGUCAUCAGCAUACAUGCAUAUCUUGUGUUCACUGCCUCUUAUUGUUAUUCCCUCUAAGGUUGGGUCCUGUCUUAUUGCCUGUGCUAAUGGUUCGAGGUACAAGGAGAAGAGCGUGGGUGAAAGAUUACAGCCUUUUCUUGCCCCUCGCUCUAAUUUGAUUGUUCGUGUCAAAUGUCCAUUUAUCUUUAUUCUAGCGGUCAGACAUGAAUACAGUGUUUUGAUGCACUGUAUCACUUCUUUGAGACCAAUUCUUUCCAUAAUUUGGAAUAGGUAAUCCCAUCCCACUGAAUCAAAUGCCUUUUCUGCAUCUAGGCUGAUUAAUAUUGCACAUGUCUUAUUCUGAGUAAUGUGGUCCAUGACAUGUAGUGUUCUCCUUAUAUUGUCCUGUGUCUGCCUAUUUUGUAUGAAACCAGUUUGAUCUCCGUCAAUAAAUUCUGGGAUUAUGUUC